AGUGAACGCUGGCGGUAGGCCUAACACAUGCAAGUCGAACGGCAGCACAGGAGAGCUUGCUCUCUGGGUGGCGAGUGGCGGACGGGUGAGGAAUACAUCGGAAUCUACUCUGUCGUGGGGGAUAACGUAGGGAAACUUACGCUAAUACCGCAUACGACCUACGGGUGAAAGCAGGGGACCUUCGGGCCUUGCGCGAUUGAAUGAGCCGAUGUCGGAUUAGCUAGUUGGCGGGGUAAAGGCGCACCAAGGCGACGAUCCGUAGCUGGUCUGAGAGGAUGAUCAGCCACACUGGAACUGAGACACGGUCCAGACUCCUACGGGAGGCCGCAGUGGGGAAUAUUGGACAAUGGGCGCAAGCCUGAUCCAGCCAUACCGCGUGGGUGAAGAAGGCCGUCGGGUUGUAAAGCCCUUUUGUUGGGAAAGAAAUCCAGCUGGCUAAUACCCGGUUGGGAUGACGGUACCCAAAGAAUAAGCACCGGCUAACUUCGUGCCAGCCGCCGCAGUAA
rnacentral:rRNA from 1 species